UCUGUCAAUAUAACAUAGUCAUCACCGGCAAAACAUUCCACGAAGAAAAUAAUGAGUUAAAAACGCCUUUCAAAACUCGGAAAGAAAACAGAUGUUUAAAACUUCUUACACCUAUGAACAAUCGGCAACGGAAGAUUAAAGGUGUGAAAUAUAAACGAAGAGAGUGAGAAACGCGAGAGAAAUCGAGAGAGGCAUCAGAUCUUCCUAUUCAAUUAAGAAUGAAUCAAAAUGCCCAAAUCGAAAUCCGAGCAUUCAGCAACUGAAAAUGUUCAUCAAUUGGCCUCACUGAUUUCGUUGAAUUACAAAAUAGAAAACCGACAAUAAGAAAAGAGAUAAUAAGGCGGAGCAACAGAAGAACACAAAAAAUACACAACAGCACCGAGAGAAACUCGAGGCUGAGGAGCGAGAGAAUACGGCUACUGUGAGCCCUAGG
rnacentral:lncRNA from 1 species